rnacentral:rRNA from 1 species
CCUACGGGAGGCAGCAGUGAGGAAUAUUGGUCAAUGGCCGGAAGGCUGAACCAGCCAAGUCGCGUGAGGGAAUAAGGCCCUAUGGGUCGUAAACCUCUUUUGUCAGGGAGCAAAGGCGUCCACGUGUGGACGAGAGGCGAGUACCUGCAGCAAAAGCAUCGGCUAACUCCGUGCCAUCAGCCGCGGUAAUACGGAGGAUGCGAGCGUUAUCCGUGGUUAUUGGGUUUAAAGGGAGCGUAGGUGGAUUGUUAAGUCAGUUGUGAAAGUUUGCGGCUCAACCGUAAAAUUGCAGUUGAAACUGGCAGGCUUGAGUACAGUAGAGGUGGGCGGAAUUCGUGGUGUAGCGGUGAAAGGCUUAGAUAUCACGAAGAACUCCGAUUGCGAAGGCAGUUCACUGGACUGCAACGGACACUGAGGCUCGAAAGUGUGGGUAUCAAACAGGAUUAGAUACCCGGGUAGUC